GCUCCACUUGCUCCAUCCUGUUCCAGGGCCUGGGAAGCUAAACUGUAUGAAAUGCAGAAACAGGAUCCAGUGCUCUAUGCCUUCUGAUUGAGUUUGGCCAAUGGAAAGUCCCUGAAAAGAGACUGGAAUUUGAAGAAGAAAGGUAUCCGUGUAUUUAUUUUCCCAGUUCCUUUCCUCCGGGAUUUCUGCACAUGACUUUCUCUCAUGCUGAGGAUGGGAUCAAGGACAUCACACAUUGUAGGAAGGGGGAUCAAAGGCUGGGAACUCUACAAACCAAUAAAAAUCCACUUCAAUGAGGAAAGCAGAAUUUAUAUGGCCAAGGGCACAGGACUUACUGCACAAGUACACAGAUGAAGAUCAACUGUGGCACUAGAAUUUUACCAUAUGUUUUUCAACUGCUCUUUAUGAAAGAAUAUCUAUUUCCAUUUUUAUUUUAUAGUACUAUAUUUGACUCUUUUGUUCACCAUUGAGGAUGGAACUCCAGGGUCUCUCACAUGGAGUCAGCAAACCUAUUCCAUGGAUGGUUGAGUUGAGGUCCCAACCUUCUUUUUGGGGAAUCUCCUCAGACCCCAUCCAGCAACAACAUCACAGACAAGGACAACAUGAAAGAAAAAACAAGCUGCCAAGCAGCGGAUCAGUGGAUGCAAAGGCUACCUUUUUUCAGAGUCUGGAUUUCAGCAAGCUUUGUAGGAUGAAGUAAUCAUACAACCAGCUGUGGAAACUAAAUAAACCUUUUCAUAGUUUCCACUUUUGCAGCUGGGGAAAAGCAUAUAAAACAAAGGUGAAUUUGGUCUGGGAGCAUAAUGUUAAUUAAAGCUGGGCUUUCAAGGAUUGACACACAUUAUUCUUUAGAGAAGGGUUGAUUAUCUCUACUACUUCUCCACUUAACAGAUCAACCUGGCUUAUUAUUAAACCUGAAAAGACUAUGUGGCACCUCAAAGUGGAUUACUCCUACCUUGGUGCUGUGUACUCAUCCACUAAAGCUCUCAUAGCAAAUAUUGAAAUUAUUUAUUCCAUCCAAUCAGUAGCUAGAAAAUACUUUGCAGUCAUACAAUUAGCUAAUGUGUUUUUUUUCAAUGAUUGUUUCAAUAACCUCUAAACUGCAGUUUACUUUCACCUCUGAAGGGACACAAUUCACCUUAACCAGGAUACCUAUGAGGUGUCUCAACAGCCCUGCUGUUACACACAACCUUAUGCACAACAGCUUAACCAUAUCCAACUUUCCUCAGGAGCAUAGGGAUGACAUCAAAAUAUUGACAUCUUCCUCUAAGGAGGCUCAACCCACCUAUUUAGGUCAUGUGAACACAGAAGAGCUCACCAAAAGGGGAGGGACACUGCCUCAGACAUAGUACAAGGC
rnacentral:lncRNA from 1 species